rnacentral:rRNA from 1 species
AACCUCCGCAAUGUGAGAAAUCGCGACGGGGGGAUCCCAAGUGCCAUUCUUAACGGGAUGGCUUUUCAUUAGUGUAAAGAGCUUUUGGAAUAAGGGCUGGGCAAGACCGGUGCCAGCCGCCGCGGUAACACCGGCAGCUCUAGUGGUAGCAGUUUUUAUUGGGCCUAAAGCGUCCGUAGCCGGUUUAAUAAGUCUCUGGUGAAAUCCUGUAGCUUAACUGUGGGAAUUGCUGGAGAUACUAUUAGACUUGAGACCGGGAGAGGUUAGAGGUACUCCCAGGGUAGAGGUGAAAUUCUGUAAUCCUGGGAGGACCGUCUGUUGCGAAGGCGUCUAACUGGAACGGUUCUGACGGUGAGGGACGAAAGUUAGGGGCGCGAACCGGAUUAGAUACCCGGGUAGUCCUAACUGUAAACGAUGCGGACUUGGUGUUGGGGUGGCUUUGAGCUGCUCCAGUGCCGAAGGGAAGCUGUUAAGUCCGCCGCCUGGGAAGUACGGUCGCAAGACUGAAACUUAAAGGAAUU